UACGAAGGUCCCAAGCGUUAUCCGGAAUUAUUGGGCGUAAAGCGCAUGUAGGCGGUUUGUUAAGUCUGGUGUGAAAGCUCAAGGCCUAACCUUGAAAUUGCAUUGGAAACUGGCAAACUAGAAUACUGGAGGGGUAAGUGGAAUUCCAUGUGUAGCGGUGGAAUGCGUAGAUAUAUGGAGGAACACCAAUGGCGAAGGCAGCUUACUGGACAGUUAUUGACGCUGAGAUGCGAAAGCGUGGGGAGCAAACAGG
rnacentral:rRNA from 1 species